GACGAACGCUGGCGGCGUGCUUAACACAUGCAAGUCGAACGGAAAGGCCCUGCUUUUGUGGGGUGCUCGAGUGGCGAACGGGUGAGUAACACGUGAGUAACCUGCCCUUGACUUUGGGAUAACUUCAGGAAACUGGGGCUAAUACCGGAUAGGAGCUCCUGCUGCAUGGUGGGGGUUGGAAAGUUUCGGCGGGUGGGGAUGGACUCGCGGCUUAUCAGCUUGUUGGUGGGGUAGUGGCUUACCAAGGCAUUGACGGGUAGCCGGCCUGAGAGGGUGACCGGCCACCUUGGGACUGCGAGACGGCCCAGACGCCUACGGGAGGCAGCAGUGGGGAAUAUUGCACAAUGGGCGGAAGCCUGAUGCAGCAGCGCCGCGUGCGGGAUGACGGCCUUCGGGGUGUAAACCGCUUUCGCCUGUGACGAAGCGUGAGUGACGGUAAUGGGUAAAGAAGCACCGGCUAACUACGUG
rnacentral:rRNA from 1 species